AACGAACGCUGGCGGCAUGCCUAACACAUGCCAGUCGAACGAGACCUUCGGGUCUAGUGGCGCACGGGUGCGUAACGCGUGGGAACCUGCCCUUAGGUUCGGAAUAACUCCCCGAAAGGGGUGCUAAUACCGGAUAAUGUCUUCGGACCAAAGAUUUAUCGCCUUUGGAUGGGCCCGCGUUGGAUUAGCUAGUUGGUAGGGUAAAAGCCUACCAAGGCGACGAUCCAUAGCUGGUCUGAGAGGAUGAUCAGCCACACUGGGACUGAGACACGGCCCAGACUCCUACGGGAGGCAGCAGUGGGGAAUAUUGGACAAUGGGCGAAAGCCUGAUCCAGCAAUGCCGCGUGAGUGAUGAAGGCCUUAGGGGUGCAAAGCUCUUUUACCCGGGAUGAUAAUGACAGUACCGGGAGAAUAAGCUCCGGCUAACUCCGUGC
rnacentral:rRNA from 1 species